rnacentral:rRNA from 1 species
AAUCAACGCUGGCGGCGUGCUUAACACAUGCAAGUCGAACGCGAAAGCCCUUUCGGGGGUAAGUAGAGUGGCGUCCGGGUGAGUAACACGUAGGUAAUCUACCUUCGGGUGGGGAAUAACUCGCCGAAAGGCGAGCUAAUACCGCAUAAUGCAGCGGCACCUAAUGGUGAUUAGUUGUUAAAGCGGGGGAUCGUAAGACCUCGCGCCUGAAGAGGAGCCUGCGGCAGAUUAGCUAGNGGUGAGGUAAUGGCUCACCAAGGCUUCGAUCUGUAGCUGGUCUGAGAGGACGGCCAGCCACACUGGCACUGACACACGGGCCAGACUCCUACGGGAGGCAGCAGUGGGGAAUUUUGGGCAAUGGGCGCAAGCCUGACCCAGCAACGCCGCGUGAGGG